GAUGAACGCUGGCGGCAUGCUUUACACAUGCAAGUCGAACGAGACAUUAGUGUCUAGUGGCGGACGGGUGAGUAACGCGUAAGAACCUGCCUUUAGGAGAGGGAUACCAGCUGGAAACGGUUGCUAAUACCUCGUAUGCUGAGAAGUGAAAGGUGUUUCCACCGCCUAAAGAGGGGCUUGCGUCUGAUUAGCUUGUUGGUGAGGUAAGAGCUUACCAAGGCUAUGAUCAGUAGCUGGUCUGAGAGGACAAACAGCCACACUGGGACUGAGACACGGC
rnacentral:rRNA from 1 species